ACUUUUUUAGUAUAAUAGUACAAGUGACUUCCAAUCCCUAAGUUUUAGUUUAACCCUAAAGAAAAGUA
rnacentral:tRNA from 1 species